CCUACGGGAGGCAGCAGUAGGGAAUAUUGCUCAAUGGGGGAAACCCUGAAGCAGCAACGCCGCGUGGAGGAUGAAGGUUUUCGGAUUGUAAACUCCUUUUGUUAGAGAAGAUAAUGACGGUAUCUAACGAAUAAGCACUGGCCAACUCCGUGCCAGCAGCCGGGGUCAUACGGAGGGUGCAAGCAUUACUCGGAAUCACUGGGCGUAAAGAGCGCGUAGGCGGGAUAGCAAGUCAGAUGUGAAAUCCUAUGGCUUAACCAUAGAACUGCAUUUGAAACUGUUAAUCUAGAGUAUGGGAGAGGUAGGUGGAAUUCUUGGUGUAGGGGUAAAAUCCGUAGAGAUCAAGAGGAAUACUCAUUGCGAAGGCGACCUGCUAGAACAUAACUGACACUGAUGCGCGAAAGCGUGGGGAGCAAACAGGAUUAGAUACCCGUGUAGUC
rnacentral:rRNA from 1 species